rnacentral:rRNA from 1 species
GAUCCUGGCUCAGGAUGAACGCUAGCUACAGGCUUAACACAUGCAAGUCGAGGGGAAACGAUAGAGAAAGCUUGCUUUUUCUAGGCGUCGACCGGCGCACGGGUGAGUAACGCGUAUCCAACCUGCCCACCACUUGGGGAUAACCUUGCGAAAGUAAGACUAAUACCCAAUGACGUCUCUAGAAGACAUCUGAAGGAGAUUAAAGAUUUAUCGGUGAUGGAUGGGGAUGCGUCUGAUUAGCUUGUUGGCGGGGUAACGGCCCACCAAGGCGACGAUCAGUAGGGGUUCUGAGAGGAAGGCCCCCCACAUUGGAACUGAGACACGGUCCAAACUCCUACGGGAGGCAGCAGUGAGGAAUAUUGGUCAAUGGACGAGAGUCUGAACCAGCCAAGUAGCGUGAAGGAUGACUGCCCUAUGGGUUGUAAACUUCUUUUAUACGGGAAUAAAGUGAGGCACGUGUGCCUUUUUGUAUGUACCGUAUGAAUAAGGAUCGGCUAACUCCGUG